ensembl:misc_RNA Y_RNA Y RNA
GGCUGGUCUAAGGCAGUGAUGUUUACAACUAAUUGAUCACAACCAGUUACAGAUUCCUUUGUUCCUUCUCCACUCCCACUGCUUCACUUGACUAGCCUUUA